ACUGUCCGAGCUGUCAUUUGAUUCGUAGUUCGAACGGGCGAUACGACCAAUAUAAAGCGAACGCUUCGGUUCCUACUUCGCCAGUUUCUCUGGAGCCACGACCACCGUUAUGAAGAACUUGGCUUAUGCAUUAGCCCUGACGCUGCUGUCGGCAGCCUUGCUCACGGAGGCCCAGCGAUACCCGGGGCAGGGAGGAUUUCCACGGCCUGGUGCAAGGCCGAGAUGUGGCAACGUAUUUUGCCGCCCUGGACAACGCUGCAUCUACGAAAAAGUUGUUUGCAUCAGGUCACCAUGCCCAGCAAUUCCUCAAUGUGUAUGAAAAGGCAGCCACAGGAGUUUGCUCUGCGCUGUUUACCAUCCACGCUACUACAUGCAGUGCCGCAUUUCCAUGUACAAUAAAAGAAACGGAACUCGCAUACGAUUAUGGACAACUUUUUCAAACGCUUCAGCGCUUCUUUACCCGAGACUGAAAACUUACGGAGGUCUCAGAGAGGGUAUCAUAAGGAGCGGUGCCGUUCUGUGAUGAAGGCCAUUCUUUGCUUUCUUUCAGGAAUUAUAUUCAAAGUAGCGAGAAGUAAUAGGCAAAGGAAGUAAUAAAAGCUUUACUCAAAUAAUAUAGAGUGUUUUAAA